AGUCUGCAACCCGACUACAUGAAGCUGGAAUCGCUAGUAAUCGCGGAUCAGAAUGCCGCGGUGAAUACGUUCCCGGGUCUUGUACACACCGCCCGUCACACCAUGGGAGUCGGAAAUGCCCGAAGUCUGUGACCCAACCAUUAAGGAGGGAGCAGCCGAAGGCAGGUCGGAUGACUGGGGUGAAGUCGUAACAAGGUAGC
rnacentral:rRNA from 1 species